rnacentral:rRNA from 1 species
GGCUACACACGUGCUACAAUGGGUAGUACAGAGAGUCGCAAAGCCGCGAGGUGGAGCUAAUCUCAGAAAACUAUUCUUAGUUCGGAUUGUACUCUGCAACUCGAGUACAUGAAGUUGGAAUCGCUAGUAAUCGCGAAUCAGCAAUGUCGCGGUGAAUACGUUCUCGGGUCUUGUACGCACCGCCCGUCACACCACGAGAGUUGGUUGCACCUGAAGUAGCAGGCCUAACCGUAAGGAGGGAUGCUCCGAGGGUGUGAUUAGCGAUUGGGGUGAAGUCGUAACAAGGUAUCCGUACGGGAACGU